AAGUCGUAACAAGGUCUCCGUUGGUGAACCAGCGGAGGGAUCAUUACGAGAGUGUCACCACUCCCAACCCAUUGUUUACCUACCCGUCCACCGUGCUUCGGCAGGCAGCCCUGUGGGACAGGGCGCUCCUCCCCCUCGCGGGGGGGGUGCCUGCCGCUGGCCAACCAAUAAUUCUAGCUGUUUUUGUAACAUCUGAGUCUUCCACAAAUAAACAAAACUUUCAACAACGGAUCUCUUGGUUCUG
rnacentral:misc_RNA from 1 species